CAGCAGCCGCGGUAAUACAGAGGGUGAGAGCGUUAAUCGGAUUUACUGGGCGUAAAGCGUGCGUAGGCGGCUUCUUAAGUCGGAUGUGAAAUCCCUGAGCUUAACUUAGGAAUUGCAUUCGAUACUGGGAAGCUAGAGUAUGGGAGAGGAUGGUAGAAUUUCAGGUGUAGCGGUGAAAUGCGUAGAGAUCUGGAGGAAUACCGAUGGCGAAGGCAGCCAUCUGGCCUAAUACUGACGCUGAGGUACGAAAGCAUGGGGAGCAAACAGGAUUAGAUACCCCCGUAGUCCCUGUCUCUUAUAC
rnacentral:rRNA from 1 species